rnacentral:lncRNA from 1 species
AUAGACCCCCGGCAUCAUUCCCUCCAAGAACUUCCCACCUUGCUCUUGGGGAGACUCGAACUCACAACUUCUCGGUUGGAAUUGGAGGUUACUUACCAUCAGCGCAACCUCUCUUGUCAUUCAUGAUAAGGAAAGGAUGAGAGAAGAAAAUAGUGAAGCGACAUUGGUGCGAAAAAAACCUAUAGUUGUCCUAGAGUUUUUGAUAAAGGUUUCAUUUAAAUCGACGUACAAUAAUUACUGUCUUAUAAUUCAAUCGAAAGAUCGAAGAGAAUACAGCCCCUAAAGUCCUCUCGUUCUUCUAUAAACCGAAAGGCCAAAUAGAAUGCAAUCUGUAAACCCCGAUUUUCU